CAGAACGAACGCUGGCGGCGUGCUUAACACAUGCAAGUCGAACGCGAAAGGGACUUCGGUCCUGAGUAAAGUGGCGCACGGGUGAGUAACGCGUAGAUAACCUGUCUUCAUGUCUGGAAUAAUACGCCGAAAGGGGUACUAAUACCGGAUAUUCUUGCUUUUCAUAAGUUAUGCAAGCAAAGGUGGCCUCUGCAUAUGCUACUGCAUGAAGAGGGGUCUGCGUACCAUUAGCUAGUAGGUGGGGUAAUGGCCUACCUAGGCGACGAUGGUUAGCGGGUCUGAGAGGAUGAUCCGCCACACUGGCACUGGAACACGGGCCAGACUCCUACGGGAGGCAGCAGUGAGGAAUAUUGCACAAUGGGGGAAACCCUGACGCAGCGACGCCGCGUGAAGUGAGGAAGGCCUUCGGGUCGUAAAGCUCUGUCAAGAGGAAAGAAGUGUACAAUGGCUAAUACCUGUUGUAUUUGACGGUACCUCUAAAGGAAGCACCGGCUAACUCCGUGCCAGCCGCCGC
rnacentral:rRNA from 1 species